UGACAUCCGUUGUCAUCAGUUUAUUUAAUUUAAAUGGAUCGCAAAACGGAAGAUUAAUUACAAUAAACCUUGAUAUACAAUUAGUAAAUAUCUUCUCACAAGAAAACACAAUUAUACAGCCUAACUCGAUUUAUUAGAUUCUUGCUCAAGUGAGAAUUAAUAUGGGGAGUCACAUAGUUGGAAACGUUAUUAAGUACUUAUUUGAAGAAUGGAAUCGUUUCAAUUACAUAGAACGUUAAAGAUAUUUUGUUUGUCGCAAUAGAUGGUUACUAAAAUUCUCUAACUAUUCUCGAGUAGGGAGUGAUGUUAUGCAGCGUUCAUGAUUAGUCCUAAAUGCGAUAUUGAAAAAAUAAAAUAUAACUUUGUAAUUUCCUUUAGUCUAUUUUAAAAGUACUAUUAUAAAUUUUGUUAUUUCCGAUAUUAGACUGCUACAUAUAUGCACGCAUUGCAUUUAUUUAAAAGUUUAUAUACAGAAUGGCCGUAUUCACCUACAGACAACCACUACAGCUUCGCUGGCCGCGUUUAAUUCAUAAGUUUAAUUGUAAUGAUUAUAAAUAAAAAAAUGAAUGAAAAACUUAGGCCGGUAUGGACUCUGACGGGAAUUUUCAAAAAUCCUGCAGCUUGCAUAGCUUUGAGGAAGAUCUGCACAUCUUUCAAGUUGUUUGUUUUGAGCAGGAGUUCGUCGGAUUUCCGCGAGGUGACACCUGUAUAAUCGCGUGAUAUGGCUUUGACUCUUUUUAACACACUUUUAUUAGGUCGGGUUGUAUGUAUGUAUGUAUGUAUGUAACGGAAUCUUUGAACUUAAUUUUCACUGGCUUCUAAACAUCUGAUCGACUUGGAAUUUUGCACACCUAUCAAGGACCGAUGACAAUGCAAUAAUUUGCAAUAAAAGUUUUCCAUUAUUUUUAUCGGGAUUUCCAGGAUUAAUAUUUUCUUUUUUUACCUAUGGGCAAAAGAAUGCCCUCUCGAUGAAAUACACAUAUGCCAACGAUUUUUCCAAUCCCCGAAACAUGCCAAAUAGUCCAUUUCCGGUAUAGCCAUCAGCACCUUCUUCGCUUCAGCUUUUAUCUCCUCAAUCGACUCGAAACGCGUUCCCCGGAGUGGUCUCUUGAGUUUUGGGAAUAGCCAGAAGUCUCACGGAGCCAAAUCAGGCGAAUACGGUGGUUGCGGAACGAUAUGCGUGGAAUUUUUGGCGAAAUAGUCACGAAGAACGAGUGCAGUCUCGGGUUGUAUGUAUGAAUGACUGUAACGGAAUCUUUGAGCUUAAUUUUCACUGGCUUCUAAAAAUCUGAUCGACUCGGAACACACAACAUAGAUGACUAGAUGGGAAACUCUUUUUCUCGUGAGAGCGCUGAAAAAUGUGCAUUUUUUAUAACAUUUGCCAAUAUUUCCAUACCGGUAGAAACAUGAAUUAGGUAUUUUUUUAAACAAAAAUUGGGAAUUUUUAGU